rnacentral:rRNA from 1 species
GCAAACUACGGGCGUGCAGCGGGUGGAAUGCGUAGGGGCCGAUCGUUAGCCGGAGUGUCUGGGCGGAAAGCGCAUGUAGGCGGUCGAUCAAGUCGGAAGUGAAAGCUCCUGGCUUAACUGGGAGAGUGCAUUCGAAACUAGUCGGCUGGAGGGUGGUAGAGGAGAGCGGAAUUCCAGGUGUAGCGGUGAAAUGCGUAGAUAUCUGGAGGAACACCAGUGGCGAAAGCGGCUCUCUGGACCAUUCCUGACGCUGAGAUGCGAAAGCCAGGGGAGAGAACGGGAUUAGAUACCCGAGUAGUC